CGCCGGGGGCCCAGAAAGGACCUCCCCGGGAAAUCGGCGCCACCCAGCGGGCAGCUGCCUCAUUGCGCCCGGCCCGCAAAGCCACACCGCGCGUCUCACGUCACUGAGACGCGUCAAGGCCAUUGGCUUGUUCCUGUUGUGACGUCAUGAGGGCCCCGCCCGGCCGGGGUCUCCUAGGCGACCGGUAUAUACAGAGGAGCACGUGGAGGCAAAGCACGCGAGUUUGGAGGGGGUGGAGCCCGACCAGAAGCGGACAGGAGAAAGUCCCCAAAGAGUUCCUGGCAUAUAACGGAUGCUCAGAAGAUAUCGAAUGAAUGAAUGAAUCAGCUUUAGUUCCUCCAGGGUGGCGAUGGGUUUAGGAAAAAUGAUACACAUCUGGCACUGAGGACUGCUCCAUGGGUAUGUGUACUAUUCUUAUCUCCGUUUUACCUGAGGAAACUAAGGCCUGGAGAAGCUCAUCAUCAGGGUGAACUGUAUCUUUGGAAAUACCCUGAAGUCAUUUGGAUUCAAACCUGAAAUAUAAGGUAAGAAAACUGAGGCAGAAGAGAAAAAGUGGCUUUUCCAAAGUCGCCUCGAGGUAGUGACCACCCUUGCUGGGAUUCACAGCUAGAGCUGCUUCAGCUUCAGGCACCCCUCCCCCCUUCCUGUUCUGUCCCCACCAAGCUGGAGAUGAUCUUGAACACAGGAGCCACAGAGACCUUUUACAUCUGAAGAGCUUCAAAUGGUCUACGUGACCUGUGCCUUGGCUCGCCACCUCUGAUUUCAUCUCUUGCUUUCCUCCUGGCUCACUCUGCCCCAAGCCUCCUCAGUGCCUUUGCACUGGCUGCUCUGUAUUCUGGAAGACUCUGCCCCCAUGUCCCAGGGUCACUCUUUCACCUCCUUCAAGGCCUGACUCAGACUUCUCAUUGACAUCACCUUCUCACCAACGCCUCCCCUGACUACCCUGUUUAAAACCACAGCUCACAACCCCCCACCCCUGCAUUUGUGACCCCUUGACCCUGCUUCUUUUCUCCAAGUCACCUUCAAAAUGACUACGUCAUUUUUCAAAUGUA